AACGAACGCUGGCGGCAUGCCUAACACAUGCAAGUCGAACGAGACCUUCGGGUCUAGUGGCGCACGGGUGCGUAACGCGUGGUAACCUGCCAGUAGGCUGGGAAUAACUCAGAGAAAUUUGAGCUAAUACCGGAUGAUGUCUUCGGACCAAGGAUUUAUCGCCUUUAGAUGGGCCCGCGUUGGAUUAGCUAGUUGGUGGGGUAAAGGCCUACCAAGGCGACGAUCCAUAGCUGGUUGGAGAGGAUGAUCAGCCACACUGGGACUGAGACACGGCCCAGACUCCUACGGGAGGCAGCAGUGGGGAAUAUAGGGGAAUGGGCGAGAGCCUGAUCCAGCACUGCCGCGUGAGUGAUGAAGGCCUUAGGGUUGUAAAGCUCUUUUACCCGAGAUGAUAAUGACGGUAUCGGGAGAAUAAGCUCCGGCUAACUCCGUG
rnacentral:rRNA from 1 species